ACCAAUCCCUCGCGAGCCCUACCUCGUCUCCAGUCGCAGCCGCCGCCGCACCCCAAUCCAACCCCGCCGCUGGCGAUCUCCUCGCCCCGCUGCGCCGCCGCCGGCAAGGGAAGGGAAGGGAAGGGAAGGGAGAGGGAGCGCCCAGAUCCACGCCCAUCGAUCUACCAGCUGGCCACCACCCCCUCCCUCCCCAGCCGGUCGCCACGGCGCCACCACCCCCUGGGCAGCCAUGCACAUCGGUAGGCGGCCACACGACAGGUGGGUCUCGGCCUCCCUCCUCCCAUCGUCCAAGGCCAGGAGCUCCCCUCCCCGCCGCGCCCUCGCCACGCACCUGUCCUCCCCCGCCGCGCACCUGUCCUCCCACGCCGCGCCGCCGCUGCUCGCCUAUGUCGUCCCCCGCCGCGUCGCCGCCGCUCGCCCUGCUCCCCAUCCUCGGCCUCACACCCGUCGCAUCGUCUCCUCCUCCCGCCCCUCGGUGCUCAACAGGAGGAGCCUGACUCGCCGCCGGCCCUCACGAGAGAGAGGUCUCCGCCCCCGGUCAGCUCUGGCUGCCUCCACCACCACAUAUUGGCAGGAGACCCCCGCCGCUCCUCCAUUGCAUGGCCAUCACCGAGAGGAGCAGCGGCUGGAGGCGUCGUCAUUGGCUGGAGGAGCAAUGGGCCGACAUCCUCGCGUUCAUGCACCUCCGGGAAGAACGACCCGAGGGGAGAAGCCCCCGAUCCGCUGUGCAAAGUGAGCGAGAUGUGGUCCCGUCGUUGUUGGCUGUUGAAUUUGUGCUGCAGUCCAUGCCCACCACGUCCGUGUCUUCGCCCCUUUGUCAUCCAACACAAACAGCAGAACGGAGCAACAACCGCGGUUUGCGAGGUCAGAGAACUGCCGCAGCUUGCUGCCAUGUACAGCUCGCCCUUCUUCUAUGCCAAAAGCCCCUCGAUUGAAGCUCCAACUCAAUUGCAAAUCAAAAUUACCAACCCAGAUAAUCUCUCCGGAACAACGCCUAGCUCGCCGUGCUCCACUCACUCUAACAGCAUAUCUCAUAACCGAAGGCAUGAACAAGUGCUUCAGUAUUGCUGGUGGCAAUCCAUUGCUUGAGGUGACAUCGUGUGCAAGAUUAUCCCCAUGGAGGGCGCUGGCACGGUGACACCCUCCUCGACCUGUUGAUCCCAUGACUUAGGUCACCGAGGCAGACGAGGUUAUGGAUUACCUGAUGAGAAGCGAGCCAUCGCCGGCGGGCUAACGCUGUUGCACGUCAUGGCGGGGACGGCCUUGUGGCAGUCGUGCGUGCGCUACUCGAGUUGGGCACCGAUGUGGAGGCCCCUGGUCAGAAGGGACGCGGCUGGAGCUGCUGCUGGAGGAGACGCGGAAGCGUUGGACCCGACUCCUUUGUGCAGCCAUGCUAGCCUGCUGGAAGAUCCAUGGCCUGCCUGGCCAGCGUGACCAUUGAACAAAUCGUCUCUCAAAACCCUCCCUCCUCCUCGUAAGUGUUGAUUUCAAUUGUUUGCACCAACUUCUGCUUUGUCCGCAAUGUUACAGAUGCUUGUAGAUUUAGCAAAUAUAAUUUCUUAUUAUAUGUUUUCACAUUUGAAUUUGCAUCCUGGUUUUGCUUCGAGGAUUGUAGUUCAGUCCUUGAUUAAACAAGCGUUUGUGCCAGGCUUGCGUGGUGACUCUGCAACCUGGUUGAAUGGCUGAUUUGCAACUUGGUCUUGCUUACAUAGAAUUUAUAAGUGUUGGUGCUGGCUUGCAUCGUUGUAUAUAGGAGACGCCUCUUUAGGGCCUCCUCACACCAUCAGGCAAGAUGCCGCAACCAGUGCUGCCGAGGAGAUGUUGUCGUCCGCUUAAGCAUCAUUCGGAAGACGCCGAUGUGCUUACCAAUCCUCAUGUUUUUCUGCACCCAAUUUGUUUGUCAUGAAUGAUCUCUUUAGCGCAUCGAUGCCCCAGCUAAGCUCAUUCCUAAUUCAGUUUCUGUUGUCACUAGAUUUUUUUGUAAGGAAACUGUAAUGUUUGAUUAUUUUUUCAAUUUGAGGUAAAGCUAAUUGUGUCUUGCAAACACAUGUUUUUAUUUGGGUCUGGUUCAAUAACUCAUAUCAGGCGGCAUGGAGCUAAUUUGACUCCUAAAGCCAGUAAGAGGGUUCCCUGGAUGGUCAAUAAGGGGAUGAUGCCAAUUAGUCUGGAUUCUGGAACAAUGCUAACAUUCAAAUCCUUGACGUGUUGGUGCAUCCGUGCUUUGAUAAAAAAACAAUUAGGUAUGCUUCUCAGUUCUCACUACCUCUGCGUGAAAACCAAAAUUACAAAUCAUUAUUUGUUAUUUCCAACUAUUUUUUGUGGCUGAUUGGACAAUAUUUCCGUUUCUAACUUCCUUCCUUCGAAUGACUUGCCAAUGAUCUUUCACAAUUUUAUAGUGUUUACUUUAUUUCUGUAACUGAUAUCCUUUAAAUUCAAUUUGUUUUAAAGGUUCACCAUGUUUCUUUAACAAAAUUUAUCCAGUGAAUUGGUAUGUCUGCUCCACUGGGCAGCAGCUGCAACCUUUCAACUUUGGCUCUUGCACCAUUGUUUCAUAGGUGUAUGCUCUAUUUUCCUGUCUAGUCAUUUGGUCUUUAUAUUCAGCUUGUGUUUGUCAAGAGCUUAUUCGGUCAAAGGUUAUAAGAGAUAUGACAGUGCCUUUGUUGCGCUAAGGAAUAUGGGGUCAUGAAAAAUCAAGGUUUGUUCUUGCUCCAUUAUGUUUCCCACCAAUUGUUUUGUUAUACACCUUGUUCUUACUACUUGCAUGUGACAGCCGGAGCAGUAGGCAAAAUUCUAUUUCUUCUUCUAGAUUGCUAUACCAUUGUACAAGAAUCAGAAUAUCAGUGCAAUUGUGCCUUUUCAGUCCAUAUUUAACAAUGACAAAAAAUUAUUUUCCUUUCGUUUCUGUUUCACUUGUGUCUGCACCGGAGAAUGUUCAUCCUUGCCUUCCAUCACUGGAGAAUAUUCAUCCUUACUCACUUGGCCUACUGUAACAAUGCUAAUUUCUCUGCCAUCUAAUUGCUCCAUACACUUAGUUUGUUUAUAUCUAGAGUUCACAUAGGGAUUAGUAAACAAAUAGUCUUUUUUAAUCAAACGGCCAUGCAGGUUUGAGCAAGCUCAAAGUAGGCUGGGGAGGAUGACCAAUGAUUAUACUGAUGUUGGUCAAAGCCAUAUUUUUUGUGCAGGUCCUAGCGAGCUCAUCGCCCACGUAAAAUAUUCCUUGAUGGUGGUCCAUAUUUUUUGUGCAUAUUUAGCUCAGUAUUCGGCCAAACACUUUAACUUGUAUAUCGUAAGAAAGAAAAUGUACAAUUUUUUACUGAGAAGCAGUAAAUCUCUUGAUUACUAAAAUUGUCA